CUUCAUAAUUGUUUGUCGUAACUGAAGCAAAGACUGUUUACAUAAUCUUUGUUCAUGCAGAUGGUAGUAACACAGGAAACUCAGAAAAUGUGCAAAUAUCAUAGGAUGAAAAGGGAAAGCUUGUUCAAAUACGUUUAAUUGCAGUUCUUGUGGACUAACUUGUGAAUUUUUAUGAAAGUUAGGACACUUGACUGUCAUUGCU
rnacentral:lncRNA from 1 species